AGCGAACGCUGGCGGCAGGCUUAACACAUGCAAGUCGAGCGGGCAUCCUUGUGGUGUCAGCGGCAGACGGGUGAGUAACGCGUGGGAACGUGCCCUUCGGUUCGGAAUAACUCAGGGAAACUUGAGCUAAUACCGGAUACGUGCGAGAGCAGAAAGGUUUAUCUGCCGAAGGAUCGGCCCGCGUCUGAUUAGCUAGUUGGUGAGGUUACGGCUCACCAAGGCGACGAUCAGUAGCUGGUCUGAGAGGAUGAUCAGCCACACUGGGACUGAGACACGGCCCAGACUCCUACGGGAGGCAGCAGUGGGGAAUAUUGGACAAUGGGGGCAACCCUGAUCCAGCCAUGCCGCGUGAGUGAUGACGGCCUUAGGGUUGUAAAGCUCUUUUCUCCGGGACGAUAAUGACGGUACCGGAGGAAUAAGCCCCGGCUAACUUCGUGC
rnacentral:rRNA from 1 species